rnacentral:rRNA from 2 species
GCAUGGCUGUCGUCAGCUCGUGUUGUGAAAUGUUGGGUUAAGUCCCGCAACGAGCGCAACCCUUAUCCUUUGUUGCCAGCGGUCCGGCCGGGAACUCAAAGGAGACUGCCAGUGAUAAACUGGAGGAAGGUGGGGAUGACGUCAAGUCAUCAUGGCCCUUACGACCAGGGCUACACACGUGCUACAAUGGCGCAUACAAAGAGAAGCGACCUCGCGAGAGCAAGCGGACCUCAUAAAGUGCGUCGUAGUCCGGAUUGGAGUCUGCAACUCGACUCCAUGAAGUCGGAAUCGCUAGUAAUCGUGGAUCAGAAUGCCACGGUGAAUACGUUCCCGGGCCUUGUACACACCGCCCGUCACACCAUGGGAGUGGGUUGCAAAAGAAGUAGGUAGCUUAACCUUCGGGAGGGCGCUUACCACUUUGUGAUUCAUGACUGGGGUGAAGUCGUAACAAGGUAACCGUAGGGGAACCUGCGGUUGGAUCAC